rnacentral:rRNA from 1 species
UACAGGGGGUGCAAACGUUGCUCGGAAUUAUUGGGCGUAAAGCGCGCGUAGGCGGCCACUUAAGUCGGAUGUGAAAGCCCCUGGCUCAACUGGGGAAGUGCACCCGAAACUGAAUGGCUUGAGUGCGAAAGAGGGUCGCGGAAUUCCCGGUGUAGAGGUGAAAUUCGUAGAUAUCAGGAGGAACACCGGUGGCGAAGGCGACUUCCUGGACACCAACUGACGCUGAGACGCGAAAGCGUGGGGAGCAAACAGG